rnacentral:tRNA from 1 species
AAGAAAGUGGCAGAGUGGUGUUGCGGAUGGCUUGAAACCAUCAAACGGGGGUUCAAUUCCCUCCUUUCUCG